AAAGAUUUAGGUUAACAAGACUAAAGGCCUUCAAAGCCUUAAGUAGAAGUUAAAAUCUUCUAAUCUUUGAC
rnacentral:tRNA from 1 species